UAUGGUCUUGGCUUAUUACCCCGUUCCAAAGAUUUUCAAAUUGAAAACGCGUAAUUCCGUCCUAACGCAGAUUUCCGUUACAGUAUAAAAUCGUAUUUAAAUGUUCUUUUCUGAAUCGACUUUGUAGUGGACCGUUUUUUCAACCGAUUAUCGAUUUCGAUACGGAUCGAUUUUUGGAGUCCAAAACUCAAUCUCCAUUGACACAGGUUGCUGUGAAUCGUUGAUUUUGUUCUUUUUUUUUUCAUUUCUUUCUGAAUUUCACGUGGAAUUCUUUUCUUUGUUAUAUGAACGUGACAAAUAAAUGGAACUCGAAUUCAUAUCUUCAAAAGCAGGCGAUAUUUACUAUCUUGAAAUCGACUUCCGUUAAGUAAAUGGCUUGUCAAUAGUUAUUACUAGACUUGUAUGCAAUUAUGAUAAACGCAUUCUAAUUGUAACUAAAACGUAUGUCCACUUAUUCAAAAUAAAUUUGUAUAUUAUUCUACGUUAUAAAUGCAUAAAAUCCGCAGUGUUACGUGUAUGUGAUGUAUUAGGCGAAGAAAUGAAUUCCGUGACUUUAUAUUGAAUUAAUUAUAAUUCAAAUUCAAUUAGAAAUAUUUGCUCGUCAUUCUCCAAUGAUUACUUUAAUCUAUCAAGAUUCGAAUAAGUAUUUCUGUUUAAACUAGAAUUAUAAAUCAUUGAUUACGAAGAAAUAAAAUUAAUUUCUACACCUAAUAUAGUUAGCAUCUAAAGAAACGAUUUUUUCAAGAAUCGAACAUUUUUGUAUCUUGCAAGAUGGAUAUUGCAUGUCAGUUGAUGUCGUUUUUCCUUUAUUCUAACACAGGAAUACUUUCGCUUUUCUAUUUGCGGUUCUCCGCAAAGAAGUCAUCGAUCCCUCCGCCGGAUAUUGAAUUCAUGGUCAAAUAGUGCGCAGUCGGUGAUCAGCGCUGUUAUCGAUGAAUGGACAGAUUAUGCAACCGUUUCAUUACCUAGCGCGUAGGCGCGUACGCGCCUCGACUAGUUUCAAAUAUUUGAAACAGCUCUAUCGUACAGGUUGAUUCGGAUUCCCCUCAUUUACCAACAACGCGUGAAACAUUGUGGACCGUUGUAACUAAAAAUAGAGAAAGAUAUACAUGGAGAAAUUGUUACAUUAAAUAGUUUGCUGCUACUCGUCGUAAUCCAAAACGCGCAUCUUCUUGUGAUGAAUUGGUUGAAAAUCGCUUUCGUCGCUUGAAGGUAGGAUUUAAAAAAAAAAUAAAAAUAAAAAUCAUAAA